AUGGCUGUCGUCAGCUCGUGUCGUGAGAUGUUGGGUUAAGUCCCGCAACGAGCGCAACCCUUGUCCUAUGUUGCCAGCGGGUAAUGCCGGGGACUCGUAGGAGACUGCCGGGGUCAACUCGGAGGAAGGUGGGGACGACGUCAAGUCAUCAUGCCCCUUAUAUCCAGGGCUGCAAACAUGCUACAAUGGCCGGUACAAAGGGCUGCUAUACCGCGAGGUGGAGCGAAUCCCAGAAAGCCGGUCUCAGUUCGGAUCGCAGUCUGCAACUCGACUGCGUGAAGCCGGAGUCGCUAGUAAUGGCAGAUCAGCAAUGCUGCCGUGAAUACGUUCCCGGGCCUUGUACACACCGCCCGUCACACCACGAAAGUCGGUAACACCCGAAGCCAGUGGCCCAACCUUAGGGAGGGAGCUGUCGAAGGUGGGAUCGGCGAUUGGGGUGAAGUCGUAACAAGGUAGCCGUACCGGAAGGUGCGGCUGGAUCACCUCCUUUCUAAGGAGCAACUACGAGGACGAAUGUGCCUCGAAGCUCCAGUCAGUCACUGGCGUCGUCGUGCCGUCCCCUCAGUACCGUCAUUCGUGGCGUGGAACGUGGGCCCGGCCGGCUGAUACAGCGAUCCCGCUUUCAGGGUGUGGGUCCGCGUCUGUGUGACGCCGGACCGCACCUUGAGAAUUGCAUAACGAGCACGGGCAUCUUUAUUUAUUGGAAAGAUCGUUUGUAGGUAUUGGAAGCUACAAAGGGCUUACGGUGGAUGCCUUGGCACCAGAUACCGAUGAAGGACGUGGCAGGCUGCGAUAAGCCUCGGGAAGCUGCCGAGCAAGCGUGGAUCCGAGGACUUCCGAAUGGGGAAACCCGG
rnacentral:sRNA from 1 species